GCCAUGUGGUUGCCGGGUGCCAGCCCGUCACAGGCGAGGCCCCACAUCUGGGAGGGGGGAACGGCGUCCGCCCCACCUGUGUCCCUGAGAACUGCAGUGCCAGGUACUGACUUGUAAAAAGCAGGGACACCCCAGACACUCCUCCCUGAGGCAGGGCCUCUGACUUACCUUGCAGGAGUGAAAGGGCCUUACCAGACUUGGACCAAGGGUCAAAAGUCUGUUGAAGUCCUGCCCCAAAGAUGGUGCAGAAAACCGCUGGCAACCACAAAAGAGCAAUUUGUGUCUGUUUCUAAGAAUAUGGGCUCAUCACGGUCUGUGGCAGGGCAGGUCAGCACCAGGGCAGGAGGGCCUCCAGGCUGAAGCUUUCCGUUCCGAGCUAACCUUCCUGGGGCCUGGACCCAGGCUCCAGUGUUCAAAACCCCUGUGUGGAGGAGGCCCGGUACUCGGGGGCUUCCCCCCCGUCCACGCAUCAGCAGGUGCGUCCCCCUGGUGGAUCUGCCUAGUUACCUGUGCGCGGGCGGGUAUCCUGAGUGCCCUGAGCUGUCUUCCUGCCCCGCCCCCUCCAUGGGUCUAAAGUUAGCAUCGUUCAUAAGCCCAGUCAUUUAUUAUGCUUCCUCUUCCAGGACCAUUGUUAGCUGUGGGUGGUUUUUUUUUUUUGAAAUAACAAAACAGUAACAUCCUGAGAUGAUCGCGCUGAAUUUAUUUCAGCUGAACCUAUUUUAUUUGUUAUUUGUACUCAUUUAUCGAGACGUUGUGGAAAGCAGGCAUGACAGCCCCUUAGUGGCAACCCGACGGUUGGGCGUUCUCUGGUUACAUCUGUGCCGGUGCGGCCCGCAACCCUGGUUCACGAGGAGCUUUGCCGAAUAGUGGUCUUCAUCCAUUGUGUUCUCAGAACAGCUUUAUCUUUUCCAACUGACCUUAAUUUUUGCUAACCUCAAACCUCAGUCUUAAUCUCCCCUUGACCUUGUCAUCCCCUUUCCACAGUGAGCCUAUCUGUUGCCUGUGUCGGAGGGCUAUUCACGCAGUGUUGUGUACUGAAUACACCAAGGCUCGCUACAAGAUGUGCUUCUGGGCAAGACCGACUGACCUAUGGAAGAGAGAGCGGCUUCUGAAGGAUGCGACGCCGGGGUCUAAAGGUGAUGGACAGCACCCACCUCCGCUUGGCUGGGGGCCCUGCCGGCAGGAAGAACUUGCUGGACCUGGGACCACUUCAGCGGGGCCUCCCACCCUCCACUGGACCUCCGUGGGGAGGACUAGACUUCAGGGGCUGCCCUGGGGAUGGGGUUCAGCGUUUUGUUGGUAGAGUGGGGAGGGCACCUUUUCCUGCCCUUGGGGCGUCAGGUGCAAAGCUAGGCCCAGGCCGUCGCAGACUGGGGCAGCUCCGGGACCUUGGAGAGGACAGUCCUGCAGCGUGUGUGACUGUGAUUAAAAGGCGUGGUGGAUAUUACCCUUCUAAGUAGGCUUUUACUUUCUAAAAGGAAGGUGGUAUUUUCCGUUGCAGUUGAAAAUGUGGCGCUUAAACGAACAGAAAGUUCUCCUAGUGUUUUUCAUCAUCUGCUUUUAUACAUUCGGCAAGCAGACUUGCCUCUUUUUCUUUAGACAUGCUGUUUUUCACAUGUUCACGUUUUAGAUGUUUUUCAGACACUGUUUAUCACCUGUUUUUGUCGUCAUCAUGUGUCUCUUCUGAUUCGCCAAGGAGCGGUUCCAAGUGUAGCUUCUGUCUCCUCUCCGACCUGCUCUCCCAGGAGUUCUGCACAAAGACCCUGCCUGUUUCAGUGACCGUGUUGACAUUGCUUACGUGGGCUGUCACCCUCCACUUCGCUUUCCUUAUCUCUUCCCCACCCUGUAUCAGCGUGCUCAUUUCGUUUCUGUAAAAUGUCCCAUUGUUAACUUUUUUAAAAUGUAAAUUAUCAGUCUCAUUUUUUAGAAAGAAAAAUUUGAUCUCAGCUUAUUUCAUCAGAGGUCCUAGAAAACAGAUUCUUGGCUUUGAAGCCAUAAGAGGUAGCACACAUUUUAGCUGAUAACAGACAUCUUCCAUGGAAGCCAGUAAAUGUCCAACUUGAUCACUUGUCCGAGGGAGAAAUUCGCCACAGCGUCACCCUGUGGGUCGACUUGUGCCCGUCACAGCUGGGCUCAUUCUGGGGACAAAAGGGAUGCUUGUGAAAUAAAUGCUUUCUAGUUCUCUA